UUUUUCAAACUUGAAGGAGCUGCCUAAAUGAAUCCAUUGUGCAUCACUCUAUCUAAAGGAAUAUAAUCUGUUCAUUCUUCAACAAUUGCCUUCUUGGUUUUUUUCAAAUAUUGGAAAGAAAUGAUAGAUAAAUCUCAGUCUAACUUAGCCUUCACUUUAUUCAAACUUGAUGGAGCUAACCCAAUGAAUCUUUUGUGCAUCUCCACUCUAUCUAGAGCAACAUGCUCUGUUCAUUCUUCUUGGUUGCUCUUGUUAAAUUGCACAUUUGCAUAUUAAAUUAUAUGAGUUAUUUUUAUUUUCAGGACCUGUGAAUAUAUGCUUUAUAUAAAUCCAUUGCUGAAAUCAUGGACAAUCAGUAUUCCAAACUACAGCCAUGUCAACUUAAUAGGCAAAGUGAUUAUUGAAUGAAUCAAUAACAAAAGCAAAUGGUAGAUUAUGCAAUAUAAUGUGGCAAAUUCACCAAUUCUAUAUAUAAUCAAACCUAUAUCACUGAAUUUCAUGAUUAUGGAAGUUUUAUCAAUAAAAACAUAUUAACAAAAUCACCUUUAAACCAUCCCAAGUAAUAUUAUUUUAAAAAAUUUCCAUGACUGCAUUAAAAAAUUUCAAGUCACAAAAACAGCCUCUCUACAAAGCAGUGAUAAAGCUGCGUACAUCAAACCCCUCCAGAGCCUACAAGUGUAGGAUACUUUGCACAAUGGAUCAACCUUUUUCCAUGACUGCAUUUAAAAUGUUAAAAUUUUCCUAAGUGCCACACGUCCAAUAGAACAAGGAUACUGUUGCACUCUUUGCCACAAAGAACAAACCCUAGGGGACAAAAAAAUAGCAUGAUGAAUGAUAUCAACUUCAGAAAAAAAAAAUCAUCUACCAAAUAUUCAAAACGUUCAACUACUUUAAUAAGCACUUUACAAAUUCAUUUCAACUGAGACUAACCAUUUGUUUGUUUUGAGGGAAAUGGUUUUGAGGGAAAUGGAGAGAAGAAAAGAAAAGAAAAGAAACGUGACUUCUCAAAUUUCCAAUGUUUGGAUAGCAAAUGGAUGAAAGAAAUGAAAGGGAAAUUAUAUUUUCCAAUUUGGAGUGAAAUUAAACUUUUGUUCACUAGAAUUGUUUUGGACUAUAAAGGCACCAGCAUUUGUGGUUGAAGCAAUUCAAGCAAAGCUUCUAUCUAUUUAUUUGCUCAACAACGACAUUUCAUUUCAUCUACCAUGAAAAAGAAAGCCAAAAGUUUUCUCGGUAAUUGAGCUCUGUUUAACAGGUAGAACAAAGUUUAGAAAAGUUCAAGUUGCAGCCCAAAACUUCCAUCUCCAUCUCAUCAAAAGUCUCAAGAGCCUAGUAGAUUCUUGCCCAAAGUUAUUGCAAUUCAGCUUGCUAUUAAAGUUAAAGCUUUUAGUGCGUUAGACUCCAGCAAUCAAGCAAAGAUUAAAACAAUCCAAUCCCCAUUUCAUUGUUAAUUUGUUACAAAAUAAGAAGGCAAAGAGAAAUAAACAAAUAAAAUCAAGACUAAUUUCUCAUCAACCAAACAAACCCUAAAUUAAUUCCAGCUUGAAUAGGCAUAAAUAAACUUCACUCUGGAAUUGUACAUAAAUAGGUAGGGGGUGAUA
rnacentral:misc_RNA from 1 species